rfam:Erinaceus europaeus unplaced genomic scaffold scaffold00048, whole genome shotgun sequence
UGUUUACUUUGGCAGUACACUAAAAUUGGAACGAUACAGAGAAAAUUAUUAUGGCCCCUGCAGAAGGAUGACACCCACAUUCUUGAAGCAUUCCAUAUUAAA